AUGUUAAGCUUUCUAUUGGUGCGAGCCAAAGAGGACCACAGCUUGGUCACUUAUAAUAUGACUAUGAUUUAGUUUGGUAUUGAUCAUAGAAAAUAUAUCGUAACCAACUAACCGCAAUAUGUGGAACGCAAUAUUACGUACAGAAACAAACAAGAUGUUUUUUCAUUUUUCACCGCAUAUAACGCAAUCUCUCCGUGAUCCUAAACGAAACCUACGAUAUGUAAUAAUCGUUUUAAUACGUUAGGCCGUAGCAACAACAUUGGUGGUUAGGCUAGAAU
rnacentral:lncRNA from 1 species